AUGUUUAAACACUGGUUUCCAUACAAGCACUGCAGUUAAGCAACAUUGUACCUGGUCAGUACCUAGAUGGGUGACCACUUGGGAAUACUAGUUGCUGUAAG